CAGUCGCCGCGGGAAUACGAAGGGGGCUAGCGUUGUUCGGAUUUACUGGGCGUAAAGCGCACGUAGGCGGAUCGAUCAGUCAGGGGUGAAAUCCCAGAGCUCAACUCUGGAACUGCCUUUGAUACUGUCGAUCUGGAGUAUGGAAGAGGUGAGUGGAAUUCCGAGUGUAGCGGUGAAAUGCGUAGAUAUCGGAAGGAACACCUGUGGCGAAAGCGGCUCACUGGGCCAUAACUGACGCUGAGGCACGAAAGCUAGGGGAGCAAACAGGAUUAGAUACCCCGGUAGUCCCUGUCUCUUAUAC
rnacentral:rRNA from 1 species